rnacentral:misc_RNA from 1 species
AAGGGGAUGUGACGAGCAUUGUAGAUCCAUUUUUAGAAGGAAAAGUCAAAAUAGAAUCGGUGUGGAGAAUCGCUGAAGUUGCCAUACAGUGUGUGCAGCAGCAUGGAGUUUCCAGGCCAAGGAUGCAGGAAGUCAUCUUGGCCAUACAAGAUGCAAUCAAGAUCGAACAAGGUACUGAAGGAAACCAAAAGCUAUCUUCAGGCAGUUUAAAAGCACAAUCGUCUCGAAAAACUUUG